rnacentral:lncRNA from 1 species
CCGGGGUUCGUUCAUUACUUAGACGGACUAUUAGCUUUUCGCGUAUAUUUAUAACACAGACCAACUAUUGGCAAUACUAUAUAACCGUAUACAUGGACAAUGGAAUCAUCUUUUUUCUUUAAAACCUACCCGCGUCCACCUUACAAAGAAGCCAACUAUUGGCUACUAAGUGAAACUUACAUUUACAAAAGAAACAAUAGCAG